AAAAAAAUGGUUUAGGAUGGUUCAUUGGUUGUUUAUUAUUGCUAAGUACCAAGUGCAUAGGUCCUUUGUUGUCUAAGGCAUCUUCUUUUAAUUCCAAAUCAGAUUUGGAGUUUUGGGAGAGAGUAGAGAGGUCCUUGGUGGGAGGUGAACGAAAAUCCUAAGUGUUCUAAGUGUGGAGACUGACUUGGUCUAGCAAGGAGGAGAGGAAUUGCUCUCUUUGAAGAAGAGAGAUUUAAGUUAGAAUUUUCUUUGAAAUUGAAAGUGAAAACAAGCAAAGGUGGUGGUCUAGAGGUAUCAAGAGUGAAGAAUUUCUUGCAAGGAGAAGAGAAACUAUAUCAGAUGAAUUAGCAGAUGGUUCUGGACAUGCUUAGAAGAUGAGAGAUAUGUGGGAAAAAGGAGACAUGGGGAAUUUCUAAAAUAAAUCUAUGUUUGAAUUUCCGAACUGUGCGAAAUUUUAAAUUUCAGAAGUUUAUUAACUGUGUGGAAUUUUAUUUUCAG
rnacentral:sRNA from 1 species